UGGGGCCGGCGACUGGGACGAAGUCGUAACAAGGUAGCCGUACCGGAAGGUGCGGCUGGAUCACCUCCUUU
rfam:Ardenticatena maritima DNA, contig: NODE_199, strain: 110S.